rnacentral:rRNA from 1 species
CGGACGGGUGAGUAACGCGUGGGUAACCUGCCUUACACAGGGGGAUAACACUUAGAAAUAGGUGCUAAUACCGCAUGAGCGCACAGGACCGCAUGGUCGAGUGUGAAAAACUGAGGUGGUGUAAGAUGGACCCGCGUCUGAUUAGCUAGUUGGUGAGGUAACGGCCCACCAAGGCGACGAUCAGUAGCCGGCCUGAGAGGGUGGACGGCCACAUUGGGACUGAGACACGGCCCAAACUCCUACGGGAGGCAGCAG